UACAGAGGUCUCAAGCGUUGUUCGGAUUCAUUGGGCGUAAAGGGCGCGUAGGCUGCGGGGCAAGUCGGGUGUGAAAUCUCAGAGCUCAACUCUGAAACUGCACUCGAUACUGCUUUGCUUGAGGACUGGAGAGGAGAUUGGAAUUCACGGUGUAGCAGUGAAAUGCGUAGAUAUCGUGAGGAAGACCAGUGGCGAAGGCGGCGAUCUGGACGAUGACUGACGCUGAGACGCGAAAGCGUGGGGAGCAAACAGG
rnacentral:rRNA from 1 species